AAAACUUAAGCAGUGAAGGAAACCACCAACCACAGAAAGGAGGGGCCAAGUUCCAGCCUCAUCAAGCAGCAGAACUUGGCAGCUUUGGCCACGUGGUUCUGGCUGUAGAGUCAAGGAUACAAGACAGGGGUUGUAGAAUCUCCCUCUGCAGCUAAGGAAAAGCCACUGAGGACAGGGAUGUGUCAGCGGUGUCCUUGCAUGGAGGCCCAGAGAAGCCCUUGCACAAAGCCGUGAAGGUGAAACCUGGAUGGCCUUGGAGAACCCAACAUGUUAGAGAUGUCAGAGCCUUGGGAUACCCGCUGAGGAGAGCUGCUAAGGGAGUGGAACCUGGGAGAAGUGUGUGGCAGUCAGCAAGGCUCAAAGGAGCUGGAGAUCUGAAGAGGGCUUUGACAUCAGACAUGGAGAUGCAGAGUUUGGAGUUCGCCCAGCUGGUUUCCAGUCUUGCUUUGGUCAGUAUUUCCUCACUGUUCUCCCUUUCCUCCCUUUUGUAUGGUAAUGUAUGUCCUGUGCCAUUGUAUGUUGGAAGUAUGUGAUCUGCUUUUUGAUUUUGAUUUUACAGGGGAUUACAGUGAAGAGAUUGUCAUGAGUCUCAGAAGGGACUUUGAACUUAGGAUUUGUUUUGAGACUAUACAGAAUA